rnacentral:lncRNA from 12 species
AUGGGAAACGUAGUCCCAGGCUCGGUCGCCCGCCCGGCGCGGGGUCCGCCCAGGGUCUUGAGGGGCUCCGAGGCUCGCGGCGCACAUGCGUACUUCGUUCUCCGCGCGUCUGCCUCGGGUUCGCGCUCCCCGCCGAGGAAAUGCCGGGGCGCUCGGGAGGCUGGCGCCGCGCGAGUGGGAGCGGCGGGUGAACCCGGCCGGGUGGGCGAGGGCCCGCGGGGCGGCGGUGGGGGCGGCCUCGGGGACGGUCGGCUGGGCCGGGCGCUGGGCCCCCGGCAGGAGCCGCGCCGUCCGCGUGGGGCCGCAGCGUCCUCGUGGCUGCGGGAGGGGACGAGAGCCCCGGAUCCAGGUGGAGCCGGCUGUGAGUUGGCAACUGCCGGCAGGAUGCCGAGCCACGUUCCAAGGAAGCAACCUCGAAGUGUGGAGCAGAAUCGCACCCUGUGGUCAUGUAUUUUGGGAUUUCUUGGCAUCUCAGAACUCAAGGCCAGGUUCCAGCCCCCUUGGAAGAAAGCAGCUUUUGUGAAGUAAGAAUGAAGGAAGCCCCAGGAAUAGGAAUCCCACCGUGAAGAUUGCUCCUCUGACCUCAGAUUUCUCACCACAGCUUUAGAGCAGAGGCAGGAAACUGGUAGUAAGGAGCAAGGCCUUGGUUUUCAUAAUCUGAAGUAGCAGCUCUUUAUUCUGCUCAGAAUGAGCAUGGCCUCACUUUCCCCAUACUCAGAGGGUCUCACGAUGAUGGUGAAAAGUCUGGACCAAGCUUCAGAAAAAAUAGCUGUACAUUCAACCUUCUCUGUACUUUACCAAAAGGAACAGAAAAAGAACAAAUCCCAGGGAUCAAUUUCAUUUGAGGAUGUGAUUGUAAACUUUACCAAGGAGGAGUGGAGUCAUUUGGACCCUGAUCUAAGGACCUUGUACAGGGAUGUGAUGUUGGAGAACUAUAGUAUCUUCAUCUCACUGGCAGGACAUUGCAUUACCAAACCAGAGGAGAUCUUCAAGUUAGAGCAAGAAGCACCAUGGGUGUUAGAGAAAGAAUUUGCAAGCCAGUGUUACCCAGAAGAAUUGAAAGUUGAUGGCAUGAUAGAGAGCAAAGAAAAUCAAGACAGACAUUUAUGGCAAGAUGCAUUUUUCAAUAACAAGAAAGUAAUUACAGAGAGAGAAUGUAUUAAGGAAAACAUUUAAUUUGUACAUAGACUGUAUUUCUUCUAGAAAAAUCUCCGGUAAAUAUAAUCUAGAUGGAAUCAGUUUAGAAAAUACGUCAUAGUUAACCACUAAUAGAAUAGAAACUAUUUAGGAAAGAAAUCUGAUGAUGCCAAUGGGUAUGAGAAAUUGCUUUCUGAUAUUAUUAAUCAUGAGAAAACUCAUACUAGUGAGAAGUUUAAUGAAAUUAAGAAAAAUGAGAGCAUCUUCUAUCAUAGUGAGGAUUUUAUUCAACAACAAAAGAUUCACACUGUGGAGCAACUGUUUGAAUAUAAUGAAUGCAUUAAAGCCUUCCACAGUAAUGCUCUCUUCAUUACACAUAAGGGAACUCACACAGGAGAAAAAUCAUGUGAUUAUAAUGAAUGUGAGAAAAUUUUCAGGUAUGAGUCAAACCUCAUGUUACAUCAGGUAAUUUACUCAAGGAAGAAUCACUAUACAUUUAAUGGAUGUGGGGUAACCUGUGAUAAGUCAGUCCUUUGGAAGAAACGUCCUAGAAUUCAUAUGAGUGAGAAAUACCAUGAGUGUGAUAUAUGUGGGAAAACCUUCCUCCGAAAAUCAAAUCUCACAGUACAUCACAGAACGCACACAGGUGAAAAACCCUAUAAAUGUAAUGAAUGUGGGAAACCCUUUUACCAUAAGCCAGCCCUCACUGUACAUCAAAGAAUUCAUACAGGAGAGAGAAUGUGGGAAAUAUGGGAAAUGUGGGAAAACUUUCUACCAGAACUCAGCUCUCUGUCAGCAUCAAAGAACACACACAGGGGACAAGCCUUACAAAUGUAGUGAAUGUGGAAAAUCUUUUUCCCAAAAGUCAGACCUGACUGUGCAUCAGAGAUCUCACACAGGAGAAAAACCUUAUA